rnacentral:rRNA from 1 species
GUAAGUCCGCAAGAGCGCAACCCUUGAUUUAGUUGCCAGCAUUCAGUUGGGCACUUAAGGUGACUGCCGGUGACAAACCGGAGGAAGGUGGGGAUGACGUCAAAUCAUCAUGCCCCUUAUGACCUGGGCUACACACGUGCUACAAUGGGCAGAACAAAGGGCAGCGAAGCCGCGAGGCUAAGCCAAUCCCACAAAUCUGUUCUCAGUUCGGAUCGCAGUCUGCAACUCGACUGCGUGAAGCUGGAAUCGCUAGUAAUCGCGGAUCAGCAUGCCGCGGUGAAUACGUUCCCGGGCCUUGUACACACCGCCCGUCACACCACGAGAGUUUGUAACACCCGAAGUCGGUGAGGUAACCUUUUGGAGCCAGCCGCCGAAGGUGGACAGAUGAUGGGGG